UCUAGGAGCCGCAACAUAAUGACAAUUCCGGACUGUUUGCAUACGAAAUAUAUUUACCCACAAUCUGCCAACCUUACAAAUUAUCUUUGAACAAAUAUGUAAAUAUUUCAAGACCAAAUAUGUACCAAGAUGAGCGGCUCUGUUCUCGUCGUCAGCGAUUCGCCGGGAAAGAGCCGACGUUUUUCCAGAACUCUUCUGAUCGUCAAAGGAUAAGGAUAUCACUUUACUCUGCUCUGUGAGUCCAUUUCGGACUGGGAUCCAUGUAGUUUCCCAUGUUUAUAACAUCGCGUGUAAAGACUCUCGCCGCCUUUCAACAAGCAACGGUCUUUAAAACCGCCAAGUGUCUUUUCACUACGCAAGAUGCGCACUGCUAGUACUCCGCGUGGUUAACUCCACUUUUUGCAAAAUACAUUCCUUCACAUUUUUGUUUUGACUAUUUACACAGAGAAAAUACAUUUGUUUCGUUAAAUCAGCAUUUACAAUUUCUGGAUUCAGUGCACUGAAGAUAGGUUGGCUCAUUGGACCAGAAUAUUGUUGACGAUUUCGUUUUAGAAUAUUCCAGUCCAAAAAUGUGGAUUCAGUUUCAACAGUUAUACUGCACAGCUCGAGUUCAAAAAUAUAGUUAUAUUUUGAAUUCCCAAGACCUGUAUUGCAAGUGUGAAAAAAAAAAUGGGAAUUUGCUAUACAUAUUCCAAGAUGUUGGUGUGUGUGUGAACGUGUAACUUUCUGCUUUGGUGUUAUUGAGAAAACUCCUUUUUUUCCACCUAGCUCUUUGAUGAUGUAUGGAUCAUACAGCUAGGGUUACGUUGUUCCUAUUAAGCACGCGUAUGAAGGCGAAACUUUUCAUAAAAGAAUAUAUUUGGUCAUGUUUCAUAUUGAGCAACACAUAAAUAUUACCAUAAAAUAACCACUUUCAGUAAUAUAAAAAGCGUACUCAGUUCGGUAAAUGUUAAUAUUAAAAACAGGUGAAACAAUUCAGAUAUAAAAAGUGUCACUUAAGUUCAUUGUACCAAUUGCUGAUGGCUGUUCUUAAACUGAGUCAUCAAAUGAAUCAAUGUUCUUAAUGUGUUUCGAAAUGAUAAAUUAAAAGUUAAUGAACUGAUGGAUGAAAAAUUUUUUUAGUUAAAUUUUGUCUACAAAAAACUGCAUCCUUCACACAAUUUAUUCACCUAAAGAUUAUUUCUUAAUAUUAGAAUUUAAUGACGUUACGAAGUGUGGCUUGUGAAAACUGUCUCUGUAUCUGUGUUGUUAGAACUAAUUCAUUUCCUGAAAGAUUUUACGGUAAAAGGCAUUUUGACUUCGCCCAAUCAUUGAUUUAUUUAUUGCUUUUAUUCUGAUCAGUUUAGGACUUAUCUUCAGCAAUCUACCAUUGACUACCACUAUUUUCACACACUGAUAAUGAAAUAAGCCUCAACCCGCACUUUUGUACCAGUAGCGGAUAGCAAAAAUUCGUCCCAGUCUUUUGCUGAAUAUUACAACUGAAAUUUCAUUUUGUAUCGAAAGUGACGUAAAUCCUUGGAGAUUCCAUGUAUUUGACCUCAUCUUCUUUGUGACUGUUUCGCCUCGAGUCUGUGCGCACGCAGAAAGAAAAGUAGUUAAGCAGCUGCUGUUGCAUACAUGGAAAAGAGGUGGGGAUUUUGCACAGUAGUUCUUUGAAAGACCACUUCCGAGGAGACAAAGCUGUCACGAAAAAACUUUAUAUAUCCAGUACUUCAGAAAUUGUCAACAUUCUACUGCUCACUAUUGCUGAAGAGUCAGAAUCAUUUAUGGCUUAGAAUAAAAAUGUUUUAUGUACAUAAAUAAAUUUGCUAUCUUAUUUGGUAGCAUAUUAAAACCUC